CAGUAGCCGCGGUAACACGAAGGUCCCGAGCGUUGUUCGGAAUCACUGGGCGUAAAGGGAGCGUAGGCGGCGUGGUAAGUCAAAUGUGAAAUCCCGGGGCUCAACCCCGGAACUGCAUCCGAUACUGCCGUGCUAGAGGAUUGGAGAGGUAGCUGGAAUUCUUGGUGUAGCAGUGAAAUGCGUGGAGAUCAAGAGGAACACUCGUGGCGAAAGCGAGCUACUGGACAAUAUCUGACGCUGAGGCUCGAAGGCCAGGGUAGCGAAAGGGAUUAGAUACCCCCGUAGUCCCUGUCUCUUAUAC
rnacentral:rRNA from 1 species